AAGUCGUAACAAGGUCUCCGUUGGUGAACCAGCGGAGGGAUCAUUACUGAGUUAUUAAAACUCCAAACCCUUUGUGAACCUUACUGUCGUUGCCUCGGCGUGAGCUACGGCUACCCUGUAGCUACCCUAUAGCUACCCUGCAGCUACCCUAUAGUUGACCAGUAGCUACCCUGUAGUUACCCUAUAGCUACCCUGCAGCUACCCUAUAGUUGACAUGUAGCUACCCUGUAGCCGGCUUAUGGCCCGCCGAAGGACCGCUAAACUCUUGUUUUUUACCACUGUUUCUCUGAAUUGUAAACUUAAAUAAGUUAAAACUUUCAACAACGGAUCUCUUGGUUCUG
rnacentral:misc_RNA from 1 species